CCCUUGAUAGCUCAGUUGGCAGAGCGGCAGACUGUAAUUGGAUAAGAGAACAUCUGUAGGUCACCAGUUCGAUUCCGGUUCGAGGGA
rnacentral:tRNA from 1 species